GCUUGUCUCAAAGAUUAAGCCAUGCAUGUCUAAGUAUAAAUAUCUAUACUGUGAAACUGCGUAUGGCUCAUUAAAUCAGUUAUAGUUUAUUUGAUGAUACCCCACUACAUGGAUAACCGUAGUAAUUCUAGAGCUAAUACAUGCAUCAAACCCCGACUUUUUGGAAGGGGUGUAUUUAUUAGAUGGAAACCAAUGCGGGGCAACCCGGAUUAUGGUGAUUCAUAAUAACUUUCGGAUCGAUCUUCGGAUCGAUGCAUCAUUCAAGUUUCUGCCCUAUCAGCUUUGGAUGGUAGGGUAUUGGCCUACCAUGGCUUUAACGGGUAACGGAGAAUUAGGGUUCGAUUCCGGAGAGGGAGCCUGAGAAACGGCUACCACAUCCAAGGAAGGCAGCAGG
rnacentral:rRNA from 1 species